rnacentral:misc_RNA from 1 species
AACUUUUAGCAACGGAGCACUUGGCUCUCGCAUCGAUGAAGAACGCAGCGAAAUGCGAUAAGUAAUGUGAAUUGCAGAAUUCAGUGAAUCAUCGAAUCUUUGAACGCACCUUGCACCCUUUGGUAUUCCGAAGGGUAUGCUCGUUUGAGUGUCAUUGUACUCUCACACUCUCUGAUCCUUUGGAUUCAGGGAGUGGUGGACUUGGGUGUUUGCUGCUUUCCUUGUGGCUCACCUCAAAUGCGUCAGUGCACCUCUUGGUUGGACAUAGUACGGCGUGAUAAGUAUCUUCGCCGGCACCUCGCGAGAGGGUGGCUGAUCGGGAGCUCUGUGCUUUCAAACCGUCUUCGGACAAUCUCUGACAACUUGACCUCAAAUCGAGUAGGACUACCCGCUGAACUUAAGCAUAUCAAUAAGCGGAGGCU